rnacentral:rRNA from 1 species
UAUUUGAGCUUUUCUUACAACGUAUUAGGUUUUACCAACUCGUUGGCUACAGUAAGUUUAAAAAUAAAGCCUGGCUUUAGAACUCUCUAAAGUUUGACCUCGGAUCAGGUAGGAUUACCCGCUGAACUUAAGCAUAUCAAUAAGCGGAGGAAAAGAAACCAACAGGGAUUACCUUAGUAACGGCGAGUGAAGCGGUAAAAGCUCAAAUUUGAAAUCUAGCGUCUUUGGCGUUCGAGUUGUAAUUUGAAGAUGGUAAUCUUGGAUAUAGUCUUCGGCUAUGUUCCUUGGAACAGGACGUCACAGAGGGUGAGAAUCCCGUGUGCUGAGGUGCCUAUAUCCAUGUAAGAUGCUAUCGAAGAGUCGAGUUGUUUGGGAAUGCAGCUCUAAGUGGGUGGUAAAUUCCAUCUAAAGCUAAAUAUUGGCGAGAGACCGAUAGCGAACAAGUACAGUGAUGGAAAGAUGAAAAGAACUUUGAAAAGAGAGUGAAAAAGUACGUGAAAUUGUUGAAAGGGAAGGGCAUGAGGUCAGACUUGGUAUUAAGCGAUCAUUUCCUCUCGGGGUUGUGCUCUCGCUUUUUACUGGGCCAGCAUCAGUUUGAACGGUAAGAUAAUGACAUUGGAAUGUGGCUUUCUUCGGGAAGUGUUAUAGCCCUUGUUGAUGUUGCCAGUUUGGACUGAGGACCGCGCAU